rnacentral:rRNA from 1 species
CCUACGGGAGGCAGCAGUGGGGAAUCUUAGACAAUGGGCGCAAGCCUGAUCUAGCCAUGCCGCGUGUGUGAUGAAGGUCUUAGGAUCGUAAAGCACUUUCGCCAGGGAUGAUAAUGACAGUACCUGGUAAAGAAACCCCGGCUAACUCCGUGCCAGCAGCCGCGGUAAUACGGAGGGUGCAAGCGUUAAUCGGAAUUACUGGGCGUAAAGCGUACGUAGGCGGCGUGUUAAGCAAGAUGUGAAAGCCCCGGGCUCAACCUGGGAAUUGCAUUUUGAACUGGCAUGCUAGAGUCCUGAAGAGGGUGGUAGAAUUUCCAGUGUAGCGGUGAAAUGCGUAGAUAUUGGAAGGAAUACCGGUGGCGAAGGCGGCCACCUGGUCAGAGACUGACGCUGAGGUACGAAAGCGUGGGGAGCAAACAGGAUUAGAUACCCUUGUAGUC